GUUGAAUCUAGUCUUUUUUUGUGUGUUCAGGUGGGAAACUUUGGAAAAGUAGCCGAGUCUUGAACAGCUCAGAUUAAGGAAACUAUUUAAAAAAAAAAAAAAAAAAAAAAAAAAAAAAAAGAUUUUGCCCAAAUUUGUCCCGAAUGACGAUUGAGGGUUAAAUCGGAACAUUUGGGAUGACAUUAUAAAGCUGAAUAAGAAGGAACAGAAGGCAAACAGAGCUGCCAACAGAGCUAAAACUAAACGUGCUGUUAACAGGAACAACGUCUUGAAGAAACUCAACCAGGUUCCACAGCAACAGAGGGGACUCAGACGAGGAGCGCAGCAGUACCAAGGGCCUGGCAGGGUGAGAGGUUUAAGGAGACAAAGAGGAUCCGGGAGGGGCAUGAUGUCGAGAAGGGAUUCACUAAAUAGAGCUGCUGCCGCUGCCACGACUGGUGAACAGUUUGAUCAGACCACAUUCACAUCGAGGGGCACAUUCAGAGGACGGGGAAGAGGUAGAGGAAGAGGAGGCGGACUGAGCAGGUUCUACACUCUUUUCUCUCUUUUAACAUUAUCAUUCAUAAAACCAGAA
rnacentral:lncRNA from 1 species